rnacentral:rRNA from 1 species
UACGUAGGGGGCGAGCGUUGUCCGGAGUUACUGGGUCGUAAGCGCACGCAGGCGGUCUGCUAAGUUUGGAGUGACAGUUGGUGGCUUAACUGCCAAAGUGCUUCGAAACUGACAGACUUGAGGGCUUCAGAGGGACACGGAAUUCCGGGUGGAGUGGUGAAUGCGUAGAGAUCCGGAGGAACACCAAAGGCGAAGGCAGUGUCCUGGGGAGUACCUGACGCUCAGGUGCGAAAGCCAGGGGAGCGAACGGGG